rnacentral:rRNA from 1 species
AUUGAACGCUGGCGGCAGGCCUAACACAUGCAAGUCGAGCGGAUGAAGGGAGCUUUCUCCUGUAUUCAGCGGAGGACGGGUGAGUAAUUCCUAGGAAUCUGCCUGGUCUUUGGGGAUAACGUCCGGACACGGGCGCUAAUAUCGCAUACGUCCUGAGGGAGAAAGUGGGGGAUCUUUGGACCUCACGCUAUCUGAUGAGCCUAGGUCGUAUUAGCUAGUUGGUGGGGUAAAGGCCUACCAAGGCGACGAUCCGUAACUGGCCUGAGAGGAUGAUCAGUCACACUGGAACUGAGACACGGUCCAGACUCCUACGGGAGGCAGCAGUGGGGAAUAUUGGGCAAUGGGCGAAAGCCUGAUCCAGCCAUGCCGCGUGUGUGAAGAAGGUCUUCGGAUUGUAAAGCACUUUAAGUUGGGAGGAAGAGCAGUAAGUUAAUACCUUGCUGUUUUGACGUUACCAACAGAAUAAGCACCGGCUAACUUCGUG